rnacentral:rRNA from 1 species
CAGCGAAAUGCGAUAAGUAAUGUGAAUUGCAGAAUUCAGUGAAUCAUGGAAUCUUUGAACGCACAUUGCGCCCCCUGGUAUUCCGGGGGGCAUGCCUGUUCGAGCGUCAUUUCACCACUCAAGCCUCGCUUGGUAUUGGGCAACGCGGUCCGCCGCGUGCCUCAAAUCGACCGGCUGGGUCUUCUGUCCCCUAAGCGUUGUGGAAACUAUUCGCUAAAGGGUGCUCGGGAGGCUACGCCGUAAAACAAACCCAUUUCUAAGGUUGACCUCGGAUCAGGUAGGGAUACCCGCUGAACUUAAGCAUAUCAAUAAGCGGAGGAA